rnacentral:lncRNA from 1 species
UGCACACUACUAUCAGAGAAAACAUCACACAAGGCAGCGAAAUUAUCAUUCAUAUCAUUAAUCUUUGAAAGAAAAGAAACAUCGUCCUCAUAAAGAUCAGACGUUAUUACAUUAUCAUAAAAUACAUUAAUGAUUUGCCCAUCUAUCAAGGUAGCUAGCUCUUGUUGGUUUAGCUUCUUAGGCAGAGCGGUGAAUUCCUCUAGCUCUUCAA